AAUAAGUGUAGUUUUGCAAUAUUCAUCUUCAACAUUUAACUGUUCGUCUUUUGUGAAAAAAUUUUAUAAUUACUAUUUUUAUUGUUAUUAGAUGAUAAAAUAUGAAUAGUACUUUAUGUGUGACUAUUUUUUUAAAAAAAUCAUAAACAAACGUUGGAUAUGGAUUUCCACGGCUGCAUUUAUU
rnacentral:pre_miRNA from 1 species